UACGUAGGGGGCUAGCGUUGUCCGGAUUUAUUGGGCGUAAAGAGCGUGUAGGCGGCCAGGUAGGUCUGGUGUGAAAACUCGAGGCUUAACCUCGAGAUGUCAUCGGAAACCAUUUGGCUAGAGUCCGGAAGAGGAAAGUGGAAUUCCUGGUGUAGCGGUGAAAUGCGCAGAUAUCAGGAAGAACACCAAUGGCGAAGGCGGCUCUCUGGGACAGUACUGACGCUGAGUCGCGAAAGCGUGGGGAGCGAACAGG
rnacentral:rRNA from 1 species